rnacentral:rRNA from 1 species
CAAUAGCGUAUAUUAAAGUUGUUGCAGUUAAAAAGCUCGUAGUUGGAUUUCUGGUAGGAGUGACCGUUCCGAACUUGAUUGUUCGUGUAUUGUGUUUUCUCCAGCCAUCCUUGUGGAGAACUUUUCUUGCAUUAAUUUGUAGGGAUUGGGACCCGCAUCGUUUACUGUGAAAAAAUUAGAGUGUUUAAAGCAGGCAAUCACUUGAAUACAUUAGCAUGGAAUAAUAAGAUAGGACUUUGGUACUAUUUUGUUGGUUUGCAUACCAAAUUAAUGAUCAACAGGAACAGUUUGAGGAUAUUCGUAUGAACAUGUCAGAGGUGAAAUUCUUGGAUUUUGAUCAGACGAACUACUGCGAAAGCAUUUAUCAAGGAUGUUUUCAUUAA